rnacentral:tRNA from 1 species
UGAAGGCUAGUGUUCAAUCACGAAUGAAUUUGGAUCAUUAAAUGGAGCUGACAAAACUCCGUCUUCAU